UCCAAUAGCGUAUAUUAAAGUUGUUGCGGUUAAAAAGCUCGUAGUUGACCUUCAGUUCCGGACUGACGGUGCACCGCCCGGUGUCUGUCCGUCAUGAUCCGAACAGCAGGUUUAUCCCUGUCCCGCCGGCUCGCACGGGGUGCUCUUCAUCGAGUGUCCCGCGUGGCCGGCAAGUUUACUUUGAAAAAAUUAGAGUGCUCAGAGCAGGCUACUUGAACGGCCUGAAUGGUUGUGCAUGGAAUAAUGGAAUAGGACCUCGGUUCUAUUUUAUUGGUUUUCGGAACCCGAGGUAAUGACUAAUAGAAACAGGCGGGGGCAUUCGUACUGCGACGCUAGAGGUGAAAUUCUUGGACCGUCGCAAGACGAACUACUGCGAAAGCAUUUGCCAAGGAUGUUUUCAUUAAUCAAGAACGAAAGUUAGAGGUUCGAAGGCGAUCAGAUACCGCCCUAGUUCUAACCAUAAACGAUGCUAACUAGCGAUCCGCCGGCGUUAUUCCCAUGACCCGGCGGGCAGCUUCCGGGAAACCAAAGUCUUUGGGUUCCGGGGGAAGUAUGGUUGCAAAGCUGAAACUUAAAGGAAUUGACGGAAGGGCACCACCAGGAGUGGAGCCUGCGGCUUAAUUUGACUCAACACGGGGAACCUCACCAGGCCCGGACACCGGAAGGAUUGACAGAUUGAGAGCUCUUUCUCGAUUCGGUGGGUGGUGGUGCAUGGCCGUUCUUAGUUGGUGGAGCGAUUUGUCUGGUUAAUUCCGAUAACGAACGAGACUCUAGCCUAUUAACUAGUCGACGGAUCUCCAGCCAUUGGUGUCCAGUUCGCAACUUCUUCUUAGAGGGACUAGCGGCAUUCUAGCCGCACGAGAUUGAGCAAUAACAGGUCUGUGAUGCCCUUAGAUGUUCUGGGCCGCACGCGCGCUACACUGAAGGGAUCAACGUGUUCUCCCCCUCCGAGAGGAGCGGGUAACCCGUUUAAACCCCUUCAUGAUAGGGAUUGGGGCUUGCAAUUGUUUCCCAUGAACGAGGAAUUCCCAGUAAGCGCAAGUCAUCAGCUUGCGUUGAUUACGUCCCUGCCCUUUGUACACACCGCCCGUCGCUACUACCGAUUGAAUGAUUUAGUGAGGCCUUCGGACUGGCGCUCCUGGAUGCUGGACCCUGCCUCUCACGAGGGGGGUACUCGCCUCGAGCUGACGGAAAGAUGUCCAAACUUGAUCAUUUAGAGGAAGUAAAAGUCGUAACAAGGUUUCCGU
rnacentral:rRNA from 1 species